rnacentral:rRNA from 1 species
UACGUAGGUGACAAGCGUUGUCCGGAUUUACUGGGCGUAAAGGGCGCGUAGGCGGCGGUGUAAGUUGGAAGUGAAAUCCCAUCGGCUCAACCGUGGAAUUGCUCCCAGUACUGCAUCGCUCGAGGGGGAUAGGGGUUUGCGGAACUACCGGUGGAGCGGUGAAAUGUGUUGAUAUCGGUGGGAACGCCAGUGGCGAAAGCGGCAAACUUGACCCUUCCUGACGCUGAGGCGCGAAAGCUAGGGGAGCAAACGGG